AAAGUGUAAUGAAGCCAAGGAUGGCUUGCCGAUAUUAAUUUGCUAUGAAUCUAGAAUGCUAACUAGCUAGUUUCAUUUGUUGAGUUUUUCGGCAAUUUAUCUUAUGGCUACAUUCAACUUUCU
rfam:Cajanus cajan chromosome 8, whole genome shotgun sequence.